CACACGCACACAGCCGUUUCUCCUCUCCCCUUUGUAUCCUCUCGAGCAGCUCCUUGCUCAUGGUUCCCGUUGGAAUUCUCCAGAGCCACACGUCACUCACAAUUCCCUUGGUGGCCACCUUCACCCCGACAACCGCCUAGCCAUCGUCACUAACCAGUGUUCCUCUUUCCUCUGAUCACCACAGGACUCGACUAGGACCAACCCCGACGAGACUCAACGCUCAGGUAAUCAAACACUCAUCUUCCUAUUUUGUUUCGAUAAGACCCUACUAGAAUCCCCUGUAUGAUAGCGAAUCUUCCGACACCGCCGUGGUAAUUGCAUGCGACGAAGGACACGAACUGUUGAGGUAAACGUUCACUACUCUCUCUUACCGAAAACAACAAAUUGACACCAAAGGGGGUCCAAAGCGACCUUUAGCCUUUCGAAAUUGAAGCCCAGACUGAUUACCAAACACCCAGUCCUUUAACUCUAUAUAUUGCAUCCAAACGACUUAGACGAGCCACCGAGACUCUACUGUUGUUUACAAAACUAAGGUUUCAAGUGGGCAGCUCGGUUGGGGUGCUGACAGGGCGUACACGAGGUGCUGCUAGGUUGAAGUGAUUCACGUGGGAGGUAUUGAUGACUGUGGUAGAGUUGCUGCC